CUCAGCCCCCAGAAAUCGGGAAGAGAAAGAUCCGGCUGCACAGAGCUUGAAGCCUGACCUCCGAGGAAGAUCUGGCUCUCGCCGUCGUCCGAUACGCCUCCGAGCAAGCCUGGGUCGACGCCGGCGCUGAGAUUUUGAUUUUGAUUCUGGCCAAGAAAGUGAAUUUGCAGGGAGUCCCUAUAUAUAGGAUCUUCCGUGGCUCCACCUCCGAAAAGGCCAAUUGUGAUUCAUCUUCUUCUUCGCUCAUCUCGUUCUCUUCCUCAUUCUUCUG